GCGAACGGGUGAGUAACACGUAGGUCAUCUGCCCAUCAGACGGGGACAACGAUUGGAAACGAUCGCUAAUACCGGAUAGGACGAAAGUUUAAAGGUGCUCCUGGCACCGCUGAUGGAUGAGCCUGCGGCGCAUUAGCUAGUUGGUAGGGUAACGGCCUACCAAGGCGACGAUGCGUAGCCGACCUGAGAGGGUGAACGGCCACACUGGGACUGAGACACGGCCCAGACUCCUACGGGAGGCAGCAGUAGGGAAUCUUCGGCAAUGGGCGAAAGCCUGACCGAGCAACGCCGCGUGAAUGAUGAAGGCCUUCGGGUUGUAAAAUUCUGUUAUAAGGGAAGAACGACUUUAGUAGGAAAUGGCUAGAGUGUGACGGUACCUUAUGAGAAAGCCACGGCUAACUAC
rnacentral:rRNA from 1 species